AUGGCUAUGGUGGCUAAACAAAGUUGGCAUAUGAUGAAAAAACCACAUACAUUGGUUUCUAGCAUCUUCAAAGCAAUGUGGUGUAUUGGGUAUGAAAGUAAAAUUAAGAGUUUGUUACAACUUUAUCCCAACUUUGAGGUCAAAUUAACUAAACGCCAAUCAAAUUUAGUUGCCCACUCGUUAGCAAAAACGGUUAAUUCUUGGACUAGGCGUAGUGUUAUUAAUUUGAUUUCUCCUUGUAUUGAGCAACGUUUAAAUAAUAAAAUGUGUUAA